CGCGUGCCCAUAGAGCGCUCGGUUGUUUGCUCGUGGCUCAGGAUCGGGAGCGCGCGCCGUGUGACAUCUCAGAGCAGUCCACGUCUACAGAGUGAGCGCAGCGGCAGCAGAGAUGGACUCCACGUACCUGGAACCUUCCCUCUAUACAGUAAAAGCUGUUUUUAUUCUCGAUAACGAUGGCAACAGACUUCUGUCUAAGUACUAUGACCCUGAGCUUUACCCGACAAUGAAGGAGCAGAAGAACUUUGAGAGCAACAUCUUCAGCAAAACACACAAAGCAGACAAUGAGAUAGCUUUCCUAGAGGGGAUGACUAUCGUGUACAAGAACAGCAUAGAUCUUUUUUUCUACGUGGUGGGAAGUGCUCAGGAAAAUGAGUUGAUGCUGAUGUCCGUUCUGAACUGUCUGUUUGACUCCCUCAAUCACGUCCUGAGAAAGAAUGUGGAGCGGAGGUGUUUAUUGGACAACAUGGAAGGAGUUUUCCUUGUAGUGGAUGAAAUCAUUGAUGGGGGUGUUAUUUUGGAGAGUGACCCCCAACAGGUCUUACAAAAGGUCAAUUACAGGCAUAUGUGUGAGCCAGCCUAUGGCUUCGUCCUGUUUGAUUACAUCACCGGUAACCUAGAGGCACAAACAGACAGGAGCCAGCUGCUGUAGACAGUCAGACAAACCCAGGGCUGAUGACAACCCAUUAACUGAACAAAGUGUGGCCCAGGUUCUGCAGUCGGCUAAAGAGCAGAUAAAAUGGUCCAUACUUAAAUGACCUGAGAAGAAGCAAAAGAAAAGAAAAAAAUGGAUGAUUUGUCAAACGAUCUCUAGUAAAUAUUUUCUGUCUCUAAGCUAUUUUUCUAGAUCCAUGUGGGCAGGUCAUCAGCAGACUGUCAGCCUAACUUAACUAAUAAGUAGCCAGUAAAUAUUUUUUCCUGGUCUGUCUGUGUGACGGUAUUUUGUUACAUUUUGUGUGACGUGUAUUUAAGAUUUAUUUUGUUUUGUCGUGUUUUUCUUUACGAAUGAUGGUAGUAGUGUAGACAUGAAAAUGAAAAAAAAAUGUAGCAAGCCAAAUGGCGCUGCUACAAGUCAGCAUAGGGGUUGCAAAUGGAAAACAGCAAAAGAGAAACUGAUAUUUUCAGUUUAUUUUAUUUACCCACUGUCACACAAGCAUGUCCACUGCUAAUUAUUUUACAGAAUAAGAAACACAAUAAUAGCACAAAUAUUCAGAAUUACCAUUAAACAUUUGUUUAAAAAAAUUUGAAACUGAAACUUUCCUAAAGGAAGUUUGGAAAGUAAUACGAUUAUGCUUUAACAUUGCUCCAAUAGCCUUCUUAAACAGCAGUGAGUUUGUAUUUUUUUAAAAACUGAGAAUUUGUAAAGAAAUCUUUACUAUGAAACCUAAUGACACUAACCAAGUUUGCUGACAGGUUGUUUAGGAGACAACAGUUUGCAGCACAGAUGCACUGAACAAAACAUGCAAAACUAAAAUUUCUCUUUUUUUGAUAAGAGUAUAAAUUGAUUUUUGAUGUCAAGAAGAAGUUAAACCUGGAAAUUUAUACCAAGUGUUACAGAGAAUGUGUUACUUUUACAGUGAGAACUUGAGAUGUUCAUAUAUAAUAAAUAUUUUCAUAGCUGAAAGUGUAAAAAUGGCAAAGACUUUUUCGGGGAGGGGGAUGUUACUGAAACAAGCUAAUUUGAUCUGCUGUUGGUGACAAUAAUAAAAAAAAAAUUUAUACUGGU